rnacentral:rRNA from 1 species
AGCCCGCUCAGAAACUCAAAGGAAUUGACGGGGCCCGCACAAGCGGAGGAGCAUGUGGUUUAAUUCGAUGAUACGCGAGGAACCUUACCUGGGCUCGAACGUAAGAUGACUGUAGGUGAAAGCUUACAUCUCUUCGGAGCAUUUUACGAGGUGCUGCAUGGUUGUCGUCAGCUCGUGCCGUGAGGUGUCGGGUUAAGUCCCAUAACGAGCGCAACCCCUACCUUUAGUUGCCAUCAGGUAAUGCUGGGGACUCUAAAGGAACUGCCUACGCAAGUAGUGAGGAAGGCGGGGAUGACGUCAAAUCAGCACGGCCCUUACGUCCAGGGCUACACACGUGCUACAAUGGCCGAUACAGAGGGCAGCUACCUGGUGACAGGAUGCAAAUCUCCAAAGUCGGUCUCAGUUCGGAUCGGAGUCUGCAACCCGACUCCGUGAAGUUGGAUUCGCUAGUAAUCGCGCAUCAGCCAUGGCGCGGUGAAUACGUUCCCGGGCCUU